rnacentral:rRNA from 1 species
GAUGAACGCUGGCGGCGUGCCUAAUACAUGCAAGUCGAGCGAACGGACGAGAAGCUUGCUUCUCUGAUGUUAGCGGCGGACGGGUGAGUAACACGUGGAUAACCUACCUAUAAGACUGGGAUAACUUCGGGAAACCGGAGCUAAUACCGGAUAAUAUUUUGAACCGCAUGGUUCAAAAGUGAAAGACGGUCUUGCUGUCACUUAUAGAUGGAUCCGCGCUGCAUUAGCUAGUUGGUAAGGUAACGGCUUACCAAGGCAACGAUGCAUAGCCGACCUGAGAGGGUGAUCGGCCACACUGGAACUGAGACACGGUCUAGACUCCUACGGGAGGCAGCAGUAGGGAAUCUUCCGCAAUGGGCGAAAGCCUGACGGAGCAACGCCGCGUGAGUGAUGAAGGUCUUCGGAUCGUAAAACUCUGUUAUUAGGGAAGAACAUAUGUGUAAGUAACUGUGCACAUCUUGACGGUACCUAAUCAGAAAGCCACGGCUAACUACGUGCCAGCAGCCGCGGUAAUACGUAGGUGGCAAGCGUUAUCCGGAAUUAUUGGGCGUAAAGCGCGCGUAGGCGGUUUUUUAAGUCUGAUGUGAAAGCCCACGGCUCAACCGUGGAGGGUCAUUGGAAACUGGAAAACUUGAGUGCAGAAGAGGAAAGUGGAAUUCCAUGUGUAGCGGUGAAAUGCGCAGAGAUAUGGAGGAACACCAGUGGCGAAGGCGACUUUCUGGUCUGUAACUGACGCUGAUGUGCGAAAGCGUGGGGAUCAAACAGGAUUAGAUACCCUGGUAGUCCACGCCGUAAACGAUGAGUGCUAAGUGUUAGGGGGUUUCCGCCCCUUAGUGCUGCAGCUAACGCAUUAAGCACUCCGCCUGGGGAGUACGACCGCAAGGUUGAAACUCAAAGGAAUUGACGGGGACCCGCACAAGCGGUGGAGCAUGUGGUUUAAUUCGAAGCAACGCGAAGAACCUUACCAAAUCUUGACAUCCUUUGACAACUCUAGAGAUAGAGCCUUCCCCUUCGGGGGACAAAGUGACAGGUGGUGCAUGGUUGUCGUCAGCUCGUGUCGUGAGAUGUUGGGUUAAGUCCCGCAACGAGCGCAACCCUUAAGCUUAGUUGCCAUCAUUAAGUUGGGCACUCUAAGUUGACUGCCGGUGACAAACCGGAGGAAGGUGGGGAUGACGUCAAAUCAUCAUGCCCCUUAUGAUUUGGGCUACACACGUGCUACAAUGGACAAUACAAAGGGCAGCGAAACCGCGAGGUCAAGCAAAUCCCAUAAAGUUGUUCUCAGUUCGGAUUGUAGUCUGCAACUCGACUACAUGAAGCUGGAAUCGCUAGUAAUCGUAGAUCAGCAUGCUACGGUGAAUACGUUCCCGGGUCU